GGGCUCAGCCAUAGCCUCCUGUAUUCAGCCGUAUCAAUCUCAGCCGUAUCAAUCCAUCCAUCCGGUGCACAUGCUUAUGUACGCGCGCGAGUAUAGCCAGAGUUUGUAAGUGCCCAGAAUUUUGGGAUCUCCAUGUGGUUCAACAUGCCCUCGACGCGUUGUGCCGUAGAUGGGUGCCAGCACUACAGUAUGAGAACUACUGGCAUAUCCUACCAUUUGCUGCCCGUCGACGCAAACAGGAAAAGGCUGUGGGAAGAGGCUACUGGUCGCUCGUUGCCGCCUUAUGCUCGCGUCUGCUCUGCGCACUUUUGUGCAUCGGACUACCUGCCGUUGUCGAAGCAUUAUACGCGAAGACGCCUUAAAAGGACAGCUGUGCCAUCUCUCUUUGUGCGUACCAGGAAGCAGACGGUACGAAGACGGCUCCCAAGCUCGGACGUGCCGUGUACCUUCGUGUGCACCGGCGGACUCACGUUUCACCGUGAUGUGUUCGUGGGCAGCAUUGCCACAGCUGAAGUGGGGGCAUAUGCAGAGAUCAGCUCAACUAGUUGUGCUGCUGAAGCUUCUGAGCUGGCUCCAUAUAAUGGUGCAUCAGAGCAGCAGCACAUUGCAACCAGUGAAGUGGCAACAAACACAGAGGAUAGCAGAAUGAUCAGUACUGCAAUCAAUGGUCCUGUGCUGAGUGAGCCGCAUGAGGAACAUGCUUAUGCGUCUAGGUUGUUUGCUCCAAGAUUUGUCCCUGCAAGCACCCAGGCCAACCUGCUUGUAUCACAUGAAAAAAGAGAUUCUGCCACCCAAACAGAGCUUUUAGUGUGGCAAAGGAGGUGAUGCAAAAUUAUGUUGCUUUCUUACCCACUGCAAGUUCCGCACGAAAACAACAGAAAAGUGAUGCGUACGAAACCUUGGAUGACUCUGUGAAGCCAGCCCUAUCAUGGACAUAAAUGACCACAGCUACCUGCCAGCAUUGGACAGCAGCAUGAAAGUGUUUGGACAGCAGAAGAGGUUGCCCUUAUUGAAGCAUAAAAAGGCUGGGACCUUUGUGUGCUUGGAGAAGGGAGGUGUGAUUCGCCUGGGCAUCCAGCCAAGUACCUGACCUAAACCUUGAUGGAUGCUGAGACAACAAUGAUAAUCUGCUUUGGAGAGGUCUUACAAUGGGCAUGAAGGGCCGUACCAUCAGUGCCUGCAUGACGAACUGCCUCACAAGGAUUGGCUUGGCCCCAUCUUUCCGUGCGCGCCCGCCGCCAUGCCGGCAGCUUGAAGUUUCGGUGUCACCGAGCAAUUCCGAAGGUUUGCCCUGCUCAUGUGCCUGCACGUGUGGUCGCCGCUCGUACCUCUGGGCGAGGAAAAAAAAAAGACAGACGUUGAGGCCUGGUUCUUUAAAGCGGGCCCACUUAAUCUAGCGGGAAUGGGACCAAGCGCCGCUGGCCUUCGGUCUUGUCAUGGUCUUGUCAUGGUCUUGUCGUGGCCGAUUUGUUGCUCGCGCACCGGGAGUGUGCUUGCGUAUCCUCGUCGUCUUUUGUGGUCGGAUCACUGUGGCGCAUAGUUGAGCGCUACAUACCCUUGGUGGUAAGCUUGAAGUGCUUCUCUGUGAAACAUUCCCAUUGCAGUGGUCUUUAAUCAUUUUUUUGCUGACUGAUCCACUAUGCGCACAUUUGUCGCUUCCUUUUGCUUCCACAAUGGACGGGACUGCAGUCAGUGGCCAACAGCACCGCAUGUAAGGUUAGCAUGUCUGUUACAAGUGCGGUUAUUGACCAAAAUUUACGGACAACUUGUCUUUUACAACCGAUUGUCUUCUAUCUCCGGUGUCUCUUACAAAAGAGGUUCAAUUAAUGGGAGAGAUAGGGCGGCCAACCAUGUGUGCAAAUAGUGUCCAUUAUACCCGAUUGUCCAUUAUAUCUGUGCCUCUUAUAACGGGGUUUAACUUUAAGUACAUAAAAACGUAAUAGGUGGCUGCUCACCGCAUGAGAAUAUGCAUUCACCACAUGUUCCUAAUGACAAUAGAUACGUGUUAACUAAAAUGUGACAAGGUGUUUAAGGUUCUUACACUGUAGGUAUCCAAAACUACAAAAGGCAAGCGAAAAAACAUGAAAGUGCAAUGCAUACUGACAAUGUCUCACCCUUUGCAAGAACCUUUAAUUAAUGAUAAUAGAAUGGCAACUACUUCACCUGACUGUAUCGCAUGUUAUAUUUAUUUACCAAGGUGUUAUAUUCAAUGCAUGUGCACUACAAUAUUAAAACUUAUCAGCUUUAUCAAUGUUGAUAGCCAAUGAGGAAGCUGAACUCUAAGUAACAUGGUGGUACAUGAUGAAAGUGAACAGAGAUUAACACAGGUUGUUAUAGCUAGGCACAAGUGUGAGAAUGCAGAGGAAGCAGUGCUGCAUUGCUGCAUUAGUAUUCUGCAUUAGUGUUCAAGAAGGUGCAGGCAGACUGAGGUCGUCAUUUAAAUUAAGAUGUAUAAAAAUUGCCUUCCAUUUAAUUUUUACUGUAUUUAACUAAAAAUACUGAACUUUAUUAGGUAUGCUUCUUAGGCCAGAACAAGGAUAAGCAUAUUUGGUGGUGCAAGCAACACUGGCUGCUGUGAAGCGGGACCUUCCGUGGAUCCAGGGGAACCUAAAUACAAAGCCAAACGCGGUGUAGAAAAGCGCAUGAAAUAAUUGGUUCUUAUUCACCCUGCCUUUGAAUGUGCCAGCCAGUGAAGGAAAAGAGACUUGCCGCAAGCCAACUCCUCACCAAGUGAGCUUUUUGCAGUAAAGUCAAGUGCAAUAAUGUGUAAAUUUUCAGACGUGUUAUCACCGCUCUCAACAGCAAUAUUUCAGAACUUUGGCUGCAGCUCUGCUCCAUAAUCUCACAAGUUAAGAAUGCAUGCACAGCUAGGUGAAAAAAAAAUGAUUAUACAGUUUAUAGCUAGUACCAACGAACGUAGAAUAUAAGUAAUAAAAGGUCAAACCUCUGUCACUGCUGCUGUUUUCCAAUUGUUUAGUGUGGACUUUGGCAGCAGCUUCCCAUCUACCCACUGUCAGCAUAGGUGGGGCUGAAAUGCAUAAAUUUUUAUAGGAUCAGCACUAUUCUAAAGGAGCAACUGCCCUGUAUAGCGGUAUGUGUUAAACACCACCAACAGAAAAAAUUACCACACACAUCCAAGUAUGCAUGGCAGGCACAUACCUAAGGGGGGGGGGGGUGCCCGAGAGGAGAGGUGUAUCUCACAGGCGUACCUAUGAGAUACACCUUAUUUCAUUUCUAUUUUGCGGGUUUACGCAUCUUUAUAGCGAACGGUAGGCAUUAUUCACGUUUAUACUAUUAAAAGUACCCCCCCUUAUUUUCAUAGAAAAGUUACCCUGGCUUCAGCCCCCCCCCUCCCGAAAACAAAUCCUGGGUAUGUGCCUGAUACAUGGUAAUAAUCCAGAGUUAAUAAUAAUAAUAUUUGGGGUUUUACGUGCCAAAACCACUUUCUGAUUAUGAGGCACGCCGUAGUGGAGGACUCCGGAAAUUUUGACCACCUGGGGUUCUUUAACGUGCACCUAAAUCUAAGCACACGGGUGUUUUCGCAUUUCGCCCCCAUCGAAAUGCGGCCGCCGUGGCCGGGAUUCGAUUCCGCGACCUCGUGCUCAGCAGCCCAACACCAUAGCCACUGAGCAACCACGGCAGGUGUAAUCCAGAGUUAAUAGCCAUAUACAUUUACUCCAUUAGAAGUAAUAAUAAAACAUGAAACCUUUGUUGCUGCUGCAGCCUUGGGAGAGCUGCUGUGCAGGUGUGCCUUCCGCUAUAAGAAAAGUACUUGAAGGGCAAGCAUUAGUGCGCCACUGCCGCAUCUCAGGGCACUUAUUGAACGAAUUAGUAAUAAAAUGUUACACACUGAAAAAUCUUGUUUUGAGGUAUUUCUCUAAUGAUAUGACUCGUUCUCUGCUGUAAUCUGUCGUCCUUAAAUUCGAUGGCCCUCGCCUUCCACGUCUGUGCUUUUUCUUGGACUGCCUUCAGCUCACUUUGUGUGCACAACGAAUCA